rnacentral:rRNA from 1 species
AAACCAGCACCUCAAGUGGUCAGGAGGAUUAUUGGGCCUAAAGCAUCCGUAGCCUGUUCUGUAAGUUUUCGGUUAAAUCCAUUAGCUCAACUAAUGGGCCGCCGAAAAUACUGCAUAACUAGGGAGUGGGAGAGGUAGACGGUACUCGGUAGGAAGGGGUAAAAUCCUUUGAUCUAUUGAUGACCACCUGUGGCGAAGGCGGUCUACCAGAACACGUUCGACGGUGAGGGAUGAAAGCUGGGGGAGCAAACCGGAUUAGAUACCCGAGUAGUCC